AUGGGGUGUCCCGCAGCAGCAGCAGGGACUUGGCGAGACGUCCUCGACGGGGACCUGUCGAGAGCUGGCCGGAACUGGACAGAGUUGGUCACCGGCGACGGAUCCAGGCCGGAUCCAGGCGGGCGCGGCGGCAAGGGCUCUGAACGGCGGACUUGGCAACGGGGAGGAAGGUUCAGACGAAGCAAGGCAACAGCGGCGACGGGCAGAGCUGCAGAACUUGGCGCGGUGAAAGAGAAGGCUCAUUGCUGCGGCGAGAACGAGGUGGAAGCAGGGUCGGGCGGCCCACAGCAAAGGCAAGACAGAGAAGGGCCGACGCGGGCAGUGAUGUAG
rnacentral:rRNA from 1 species